rnacentral:tRNA from 1 species
GGAGGCGUCCGUGCUCCUGGUGGACACCACGGUCUUCAAAACCGAUGAGGCCCGAGUAUCUCGGCCUGGCGGGUUCGAUUCCCGUCCGUCUCC